UCUCACCGGAUAAGACAGCGGAAUGAUUGCCGGGCUGAAGACUCUGCAUGACUAGCUGAGAGGAGGUGCAUGGCCGUCGUCAGUUCGUACUGUGAAGCAUCCUGUUUAGUCAGGCAACGAGCGAGACCCACGCCAACAGUUGCCAGCAUGUUCUCCGGAAUGAUGGGGACACUGUUGGGACCGCCUCUGCUAAAGAGGAGGAAGGAAUGGGCAACGGUAGGUCAGCAUGCCCCGAAUUAUCCGGGCUACACGCGGGCUACAAUGGGCAGGGCAAUGGGUAUCGACACCGAAAGGUGAAGGUAAUCCCCUAAACCUGUCCUUAGUUCGGAUUGUGGGCUGCAACUCGCCCACAUGAAGCUGGAAUCCGUAGUAAUCGCGUUUCAAAAUAGCGCGGUGAAUCUGUCCCUGCUCCUUGCACACACCGCCCGUCAAACCACCCGAGUGAGGUCUGGAUGAGGCUGCGGUCGUUGCCGCAGUCGAAUCUGGGUUUCGCAAGGGGGGUU
rnacentral:rRNA from 1 species